GACGAGAUGGCCGAGAAGUUAAGGCGAUGGACUGCUAAUCCAUUAUGGUCUGCAUGCGUGGGUUUGAGUCCCACUCUCGUCG